UUGUCCCUCAGAGGACAGGGCUGGCAAUGCUCCCUCUGGAUAUUGAAGGCCAAGCUUGAGUGAAAUUGUGGACACAUUCCUGAAGCAUAGGGCACAUCGAAAUCAAGCACAGCCUAUUCAACAGUGGCAGCCCAUUUCAUUCCUCUGCAAUCUCUCACCUUCAUUCUAAUGUUCUCUUUUUUUCAGUUUAUGGCGAAGUCACAUAUAGCUCAGAAGACUCUUCUGAGAUUGAUGUUGUCACUGUCAGUGACGAUGAGUCUGCUCUGCGUCAGCAAAAGCGCCCUGGAGAGGCGCUUGGUUCCAGUCCAUCUGAGGAACAAAGCAGACUCAUGCCCUCCAGAGCAGGUGAAAGUCUGCAGACAGCGCCAAGAGACCUCGAGGAAAGAGGUUCACCUGCUUUGGAGCCUGUUUAUGGCGAAGUCACAUAUAGCUCAGAAGACUCUUCUGA